rnacentral:tRNA from 1 species
GACAGUAGCUCAGUUGGUUAGAGCAUGGUGCUAAUAACACCAAGGUUGCAGGUUCAAUCCCUGUAUGGACCA